rnacentral:rRNA from 2 species
GGGUUGUGAGGUUAAGCGACUAAGCGUACACGGUGGAUGCCCUGGCAGUCAGAGGCGAUGAAGGACGUGCUAAUCUGCGAAAAGCGUCGGUAAGGUGAUAUGAACCGUUAUAACCGGCGAUGUCCGAAUGGGGA